AGCCCCGAAGUGACAAGCAUCAAAAUGCAAGUUUGAUGAAGAGCCCCAAUAGGGCUCCGGGGCUU
rnacentral:tRNA from 1 species